UACGUAGGGUGCGAGCGUUGUCCGGAAUUAUUGGGCGUAAAGAGCUCGUAGGCGGUCUGUCGCGUCGGAUGUGAAAACCCAGGGCUCAACCCUGGGCCUGCAUUCGAUACGGGCAGACUAGAGUUCGGUAGGGGAGACUGGAAUUCCUGGUGUAGCGGUGAAAUGCGCAGAUAUCAGGAGGAACACCAAUUGCGAAGGCAGCUCGCUGGGACGGUACUGACACUAAGGCGCGAAAGCGUGGGGAGCGAACAGG
rnacentral:rRNA from 1 species